UACGUAGGGUGCGAGCGUUGUCCGGAAUUAUUGGGCGUAAAGAGCUCGUAGGCGGUUUGUCGCGUCGAAUGUGAAAACCCGGGGCUCAACCCCGGGCCUGCAUUCGAUACGGGCAGACUAGAGUUCGGUAGGGGAGUCUGGAAUUCCUGGUGUAGCGGUGAAAUGCGCAGAUAUCAGGAGGAACACCGGUGGCGAAGGCGGGACUCUGGGCAUUAACUGACGCUGAGGAGCGAAAGCAUGGGGAGCGAACAGG
rnacentral:rRNA from 1 species